GUGAACGCUGGCGGUAGGCCUAACACAUGCAAGUCGAACGGCAGCACAGUAAGAGCUUGCCCUUACGGGUGGCGAGUGGCGGACGGGUGAGGAAUACAUCGGAAUCUACUUUUUCGUGGGGGAUAACGUAGGGAAACUUACGCUAAUAACGCAUACGACCUACGGGUGAAAACAGGGGAUCUUCGGACCUUGCGCGAUUGAAUGAGCCGAUGUUGGAUUAGCUAGUUGGCGGGGUAAAGGCCCACCAAGGCGACGAUCCGUAGCUGGUCUGAGAGGAUGAUCAGCCACACUGGAACUGAGACACGGUCCAGACUCCUACGGGAGGCAGCAGUGGGGAAUAUUGGACAAUGGGCGCAAGCCUGAUCCAGCCAUACCGCGUGGGUGAAGAAGGCCUUCGGGUUGUAAAGCCCUUUUGUUGGGAAAGAAAAGCAGCAGGUUAAUACCCCGCUGUUCUGACGGUACCCAAAGAAUAAGCACCGGCUAACUUCGUG
rnacentral:rRNA from 1 species